rnacentral:rRNA from 1 species
UUGGUCAUUUAGAGGAAGUAAAAGUCGUAACAAGGUCUCCGUUGGUGAACCAGCGGAGGGAUCAUUACCGAGUUUACAACUCCCAAACCCCUGUGAACAUACCAAUUGUUGCCUCGGCGGAUCAGCCCGCUCCCGGUAAAACGGGACGGCCCGCCAGAGGACCCCUAAACUCUGUUUCUAUAUGUAACUUCUGAGUAAAACCAUAAAUAAAUCAAAACUUUCAACAACGGAUCUCUUGGUUCUGGCAUCGAUGAAGAACGCAGCAAAAUGCGAUAAGUAAUGUGAAUUGCAGAAUUCAGUGAAUCAUCGAAUCUUUGAACGCACAUUGCGCCCGCCAGUAUUCUGGCGGGCAUGCCUGUUCGAGCGUCAUUUCAACCCUCAAGCUCAGCUUGGUGUUGGGACUCGCGGUAACCCGCGUUCCCCAAAUCGAUUGGCGGUCACGUCGAGCUUCCAUAGCGUAGUAAUCAUACACCUCGUUACUGGUAAUCGUCGCGGCCACGCCGUAAAACCCCAACUUCUGAAUGUUGACCUCGGAUCAGGUAGGAAUACCCGCUGAACUUAAGCAUAUCAAUAAG